UUAUAGUUAGGGCCUAUAGGGAGGAUAUAACUAGACCAGGACCAGAGUUAUAGUUAGGGUCUAUAGGGAGGAUAUAACUAGACCAGGACCAGAGUUAUAGUUAGGGCCUAUAGGGAGAAUAUAACUAGACCAGAGUUAUAGUUAGGGCCUAUAGGGAGAAUAUAACUAGACCAGAGUUAUAGUUAGGGCCUAUAGGGAGAAUAUAACUAGACCAGAGUUAUAGUUAGGGCCUAUAUGGAGAAUAUAACUAGACCAGAGUUAUAGUUAGGGUCUACAGGGAGAAUAUAACUAGACCAGGACCAGAGUUAUAGUUAAGGCCAAUAGGGAGAAUAUAACUAGACCAGGACCAGAGUUAUAGUUAGGGCCUAUAGGGAGGAUAUAACUAGACCAGGACCAGAGUUAUAUUUAGGGCCUAUAGGGAGAAUAUAACUAGACCAGAGUUAUAGUUAGGGCCUAUAGGGAGAAUAUAACUAGACCAGAGUUAUAGUUAUGGCCAAUAGGGAGAAUAUAACUAGACCAGGACCAGAGUUAUAGUUAGGGCCUAUAGGGAGAAUAUAACUAGACCAGGACCAGAGUUAUAGUUAGGGCCUAAAGGGAGGAUAUAACUAGACCAGGACCAGAGUUAUAGUUAGGGCCUAUAGGGAGAAUAUAACUAGACCAGGACCAGAGUUAUAGUUAGGGCCUAUAGUCAGGAUAUAACUAGACCAGGACCAGAGUUAUAGUUAGGGCCUAUAGGGAGAAUAUAACUAGACCAGAGUUAUAGUUAGGGCCUAUGGGGAGAAUAUAACUAGACCAGAGUUGUAGUUAGGGCAUAUAGGGAGAAUAUAACUAGACCAGGACCAGAGUUAUAGUUAGGGUCUAUAGGGAGAAUAUAACUAGACCAGGACCAGAGCUAUAGUUAGGGCCUAUAGGGAGGAUAUAACUAGACCAGAGUUAUAGUUAGGGCCUAUAGGGAGAAUAUAACUAGACCAGAGUUAUAGUUAGGGCCUAUAGGGAGAAUAUAACUAGAC
rnacentral:lncRNA from 1 species